UAAAAAUUAAAAGAAAAUAAAACCAGAGCAUCUCUAUUAGGAAGCUGAUACAGUUAAAGACUGGAGCAGAUGCUUCUGUAGCCCCACUGUAAUGUAAACCGCAGAAAAAAAACAUGUCGAGAGUAAAGAAUAUGAUGGAGGCAGUGACCAUGGACUGCCUUGCUCCCCAGAGUCUUAUUUAGCUUAGUUUUGGAGGCAAUGUACUAAGUGAUUUGCUGUUUCCAGCUCACUCUGAGCUGCCAGAUCCAGUCCGAUAAACAGCAGUCAAGUUUAGCGUAUAAAUGGCACAUUCAUAAACUGCAGGUUUGUGUAAAUGCUCCUCCUCCUCCUCCUCAUUACAGUGGCUCAGCAGACUGUGCAAAACCAUUGAAGAAUUUCAUACAAUGCUGAUCAUGUCUACCAACACGUGUAGGUAGGUAUUUUGCAGCCCAUGUCUCAGAUACCUGGGGUGCUGGGCCUGACCAUGAAACGCAGCAGGUGCAGGGUUGCUGCCUCUCAUCACCCACAGGUGCAAACCGAUCCGUGAUAUUUAACAGCUAUUCAGCAGGCAAGAUUUAAUGCAGACUUAAAGCACCAGGCCUGUUUUUUCCCCUCUCUCUUACAUUUGUACGAUUUCACUGGCUUCAGUUCAAGCUUCAUUAGGAACAGACUAUUACGCACAACAGCCGCGGAUGUACGGCUCGUAAUGAGUGCUGGGGUUUGAAGGCUUCCUCCUACUCUGUACCAGCGAGCCAACCCUGUAAAGCUGGUGCACACAUUUACACCUCCGGAUUUCUACCAGUGGGUAAAGGGAGAGCCACAUCACCCCGAGAGCUUCGCCAGUGCCUGCGGUGCACAUCUCCUGGUCCUCAGCAUUUCUCCUCCAUCCUCGCUGCCAGCGGGUGUGUUGAUUUUGGGAGAGAAAAGGAGAAAAAAAGUGUCACGUGUACGUUGGGAGACCAAAGCUCAUACAUUUGGGGGAGAGUUGGUAACUUCCUUCAGGGAAAAAUGUUCCCUGAGAGCUAUAAAUGGAUCUUUUCUCUGGUUUACUCCAUGGCGAUUACUUCCACGUGGCCAGCAGAAGUAGGAUGAUCAGUAAAUAUUUUAGGCUUUCAGUGAGCUCGGUUUAUAGCUUGUGUUAGCAUCAAGAGGAGAACUGCAGACCCAGCACAGGAAGGUUUCCUCGCUGGCCUUUGUAAUGCAAAACUGAUUCCUUUGCAAUAAAACACAGGAGCCCAGAG
rnacentral:lncRNA from 1 species